UACGUAGGGGGCUAGCGUUGUCCGGAAUCACUGGGCGUAAAGCGCGUGUAGGCGGUCCGGUAAGUCCGCUGUGAAAGUCGGGGGCUCAACCCUCGAAUGCCGGUGGAUACUGUCGGGCUAGAGUGCGGAAGAGGCGAGUGGAAUUCCUGGUGUAGCGGUGAAAUGCGCAGAUAUCAGGAGGAACACCAAUUGCGAAGGCAGCUCGCUGGGACGUUACUGACGCUGAGACGCGAAAGCGUGGGGAGCAAACAGG
rnacentral:rRNA from 1 species